CCCAACUAUCCCUAUUAAUCAUUACGUCAAUCCUAGAAACCAACAAAAUAGGAUCGAUCGUCCUAUUUCAUUAUUCCAUGCUAAUGUAUUCAAGCGUUAGCUUGCUUUAAACACUCUAAUUUUUUCAAAGUAACAGUCCAGUUUCCCCGCAACACCAAAUUAAUGGCAUUACGGUUCAUCAGGAAGGAGGAAUCAGUAAGACCAGUGCAUACCAGUGGCACGACCAACCUACUGACCCCGAAAUUCAACUA
rnacentral:rRNA from 1 species